UCUCUUGCCCUCGUUUUCUAAAACAUUCUCUUAAAAUCGAGGCAGGAGACUCGAGCAUUCGUCGCUUGGCCGAAGGCGACGCAAGAAUGAAUUGGCUUAGCUCACUUGUCGUUGGAAAUUGAGUGCCGCACAAUUGCAAUGCAAGAAUGAAUUGG